AGCAAAUGCUUACCCUUUCAGAGUCUCUUCCUGCUAUUUUCUUGCCUGAAUUAGUGACUGGUACAGAGUGGACACUCAAGGUGUAUUGAUGUUGAGCAAAAGAAUAAAAAAAUAUUACUCUACAGUGAAGUGCAGAAUAAAUUGAAUUAGUGAAG